CAACAACGGAUCUCUUGGUUCUGGCAUCGAUGAAGAACGCAGCGAAAUGCGAUAAGUAAUGUGAAUUGCAGAAUUCAGUGAAUCAUCGAAUCUUUGAACGCACAUUGCACCU
rnacentral:rRNA from 1 species